rnacentral:rRNA from 1 species
UGAGGAAUAUUGGUCAAUGGUCGGGAGACUGAACCAGCCAAGCCGCGUGAGGGAUGAAGGUACAGAGUAUCGUAAACCUCUUUUGUCAGGGAACAAAAGGCGCCACGUGUGGCGCUCCGAGUGUACCUGAAGAAAAAAGCAUCGGCUAACUCCGUGCCAGCAGCCGCGGUAAUACGGAGGAUGCGAGCGUUAUCCGGAUUUAUUGGGUUUAAAGGGUGCGUAGGCGGCGAGUUAAAGUCAGCGGUAAAAAGCCCGGGGCUCAAACCCCGGCCCGCCGUUGAAACUGGCUUGCUUGAGUUGGAGAGAAGUAAGGCGGAAUGCGCGGUGUAGCGGUGAAAAUGCUUAGAUAAUCGCGCAGAACUCCGAUUGCGAAGGCAGCCUACCGGCUCCACACUGACGCUGAGGCACGAAAAGCGUGGGUAAUCGAACAGGAUUAGAUACC